rnacentral:rRNA from 1 species
CUGCGGCAGCGACACUGUGUGUUGUUGGGUAGGGGAGCGUUCUGUAAGCCUGCGAAGGUGGCCUGUGAGGGUUGCUGGAGGUAUCAGAAGUGCGAAUGCUGACAUAAGUAACGAUAAAGCGGGUGAAAAGCCCGCUCGCCGGAAGACCAAGGGUUCCUGUCCAACGUUAAUCGGGGCAGGGUGAGUCGACCCCUAAGGCGAGGCCGAAAGGCGUAGUCGAUGGGAAACGGGUUAAUAUUCCCGUACUUGGUGUUACUGCGAAGGGGGGACGGAGAAGGCUAUGUUGGCCGGGCGACGGUUGUCCCGGUUUAAGCGUGUAGGUGUGUGUUCCAGGUAAAUCCGGUUCACUUUAACACUGAGGCGUGACGACGAGGCACUACGGUGCUGAAGCAACAAAUGCCCUGCUUCCAGGAAAAGCCUCUAAGCAUCAGGUAACAUCAAAUCGUACCCCAAACCGACACAGGUGGUCAGGUAGAGAAUACCAAGGCGCUUGAGAGAACUCGGGUGAAGGAACUAGGCAAAAUGGUGCCGUAACUUCGGGAGAAGGCACGCUGACACGUAGGUGAAGUGAUUUACUCAUGGAGCUGAAGUCAGUCGAAGAUACCAGCUGGCUGCAACUGUUUAUUAAAAACACAGCACUGUGCAAACACGAAAGUGGACGUAUACGGUGUGACGCCUGCCCGGUGCCGGAAGGUUAAUUGAUGGGGUCAGCGCAAGCGAAGCUCCUGAUCGAAGCCCCGGUAAACGGCGGCCGUAACUAUAACGGUCCUAAGGUAGCGAAAUUCCUUGUCGGGUAAGUUCCGACCUGCACGAAUGGCGUAAUGAUGGCCAGGCUGUCUCCACCCGAGACUCAGUGAAAUUGAACUCGCUGUGAAGAUGCAGUGUACCCGCGGCAAGACGGAAAGACCCCGUGAACCUUUACUAUAGCUUGACACUGAACAUUGAGCCUUGAUGUGUAGGAUAGGUGGGAGGCUUUGAAGUGUGGACGCCAGUCUGCAUGGAGCCGACCUUGAAAUACCACCCUUUAAUGUUUGAUGUUCUAACGUGGACCCGUUACCCGGGUUGCGGACAGUGUCUGGUGGGUAGUUUGACUGGGGCGGUCUCCUCCUAAAGAGUAACGGAGGAGCACGAAGGUUGGCUAAUCCUGGUCGGACAUCAGGAGGUUAGUGCAAUGGCAUAAGCCAGCUUGACUGCGAGCGUGACGGCGCGAGCAGGUGCGAAAGCAGGUCAUAGUGAUCCGGUGGUUCUGAAUGGAAGGGCCAUCGCUCAACGGAUAAAAGGUACUCCGGGGAUAACAGGCUGAUACCGCCCAAGAGUUCAUAUCGACGGCGGUGUUUGGCACCUCGAUGUCGGCUCAUCACAUCCUGGGGCUGAAGUAGGUCCCAAGGGUAUGGCUGUUCGCCAUUUAAAGUGGUACGCGAGCUGGGUUUAGAACGUCGUGAGACAGUUCGGUCCCUAUCUGCCGUGGGCGCUGGAGAACUGAGGGGGGCUGCUCCUAGUACGAGAGGACCGGAGUGGACGCAUCACUGGUGUUCGGGUUGUCAUGCCAAUGGCACUGCCCGGUAGCUAAAUGCGGAAGAGAUAAGUGCUGAAAGCAUCUAAGCACGAAACUUGCCCCGA